rnacentral:rRNA from 1 species
CCUACGGGUGGCUGCAGUGGGGAAUAUUGGACAAUGGGCGAAAGCCUGAUCCAGCCAUGCCGCGUGUGUGAAGAAGGCCUUCGGGUUGUAAAGCACUUUCAGUGGGGAAGAAAGCCUUGGGGCUAAUACCCUCGAGGAAGGACAUCACCCACAGAAGAAGCACCGGCUAACUCCGUGCCAGCAGCCGCGGUAAUACGGAGGGUGCGAGCGUUAAUCGGAAUUACUGGGCGUAAAGCGCGCGUAGGCGGUCUGAUAAGCCGGUUGUGAAAGCCCCGGGCUCAACCUGGGAACGGCAUCCGGAACUGUCAGGCUAGAGUGCAGGAGAGGAAGGUAGAAUUCCCGGUGUAGCGGUGAAAUGCGUAGAGAUCGGGAGGAAUACCAGUGGCGAAGGCGGCCUUCUGGACUGACACUGACGCUGAGGUGCGAAAGCGUGGGUAGCAAACAGGAUUAGAUACCCCGGUAGU